UAGGGGCGUUUGGUUGGAUGUAGUUGCAGAAGCAGUGUGUAGUUGGAAAUACAUGCAGUUGCAAAUGCUGCAGUUGUAACUACACCUAGUCUGUUUGGUUUUACGUAGUUGCAACUGCUGCAGUUACAUUUCUUUCUGUUUGGUAAUAUGAAGCUGAUAGUUGUAUUUGUGAAUUUUGUUACAUUUUCAGAUAGGUGGUGAGAUUACCUUCACUAAACAUAAAAUAAUUAUAUAAGUUUAUUAAUCAUUUAAAUUUACUAUUUAUAAAAUAAAUAGUAGAUAUAUAUAAUAUUCUUCAACUUAUUAAUCGACACAUUUAAAAUUUUAAUUUAUUUAAUUUUAAUAUAUAAAUCAAACUUUAAAAUUUAAAAGAUUCUCUCAUUUUUUUAUCAAAUUUAAUAAUAUAAUUAAUUAAAACUUAUUAAAUUAACAUACACGUCACAUUCUAUAAAAAUUUUUUAAAAAACUAUAUUUAUAUUUUAAAUAAAAUAAAUUUAAAAAAUUUAAUUUUUUGCACAAAGCUUGUAUUGUCUAAAAAAUUUUAUUAGUAUGAGUUUAUUUACAAGUAUUUUUAUUUACCUAUAUACAUAUAUUAUUUAUUUAUUUAGCUAUUUAUUUAUUUAUUUAUUAUUGUUAAUUUGUGGGUGAUCCUAUCCCUCACCAACUGCUGCAGUUGGAACUACGGCCAAUUUGGAUGUAGUUCCAACUGCAGCAUUUGGACCUUCUUAUGUAGUUGGAACUGCAGCAGUUGAACUCAACUACACUAAACCAAACAAAGGAAUUGAGACUGCACGUAUUUGCAACUGCACUGCAGUUGCAAAUGCGUGCAACCAAACAGCCCCUUAAUAUAUACAAUAUUUAGUUUAUUGUUUAAAAUUUUGAUAUCAAUUGAUAGAUUUUUAUUGGAAUGUAAAAAAAACAAAACUAAAUACAUAUAUCAAUGCCCAUCAAAAUCAUAAACAAAAUAGAAUAUAACUCACAGAGCGCCAAAAAGAAAAUGUUUUUUAUCAAUCUGUGGAAACGAGAAGUCCGGUAGCGGUAUGAACAUUACCAAUCAAACUUGGGUAAUUUAGGCACUCUCCCAUAUGGUGUAGAAUAGACGAUAUUUCUUCACCAGAAUGUAAUGAGAAAGUAGCAGAGAAUAAGUACCCCUUUAUAUUGUGUCCAAAUUGAUUUUCUAUCAAAGUCUAAUUAGCAUUCUAUUUAAUUUAAAUAGAUAAAAAUAUGAUAAGAUAUAUAAUAUCAAGCAGUUUUAUAUUUAUUAGGAUUGACCUUUGUUUAUAAU
rnacentral:lncRNA from 1 species